CUGUGCCUCGCCGCCGCCGCCCCCCCCCCCCACUUCUGAGCAGCUCUGGGGGGGGAGCAAUUGCCCCGUUGCCCCCUCCCCCUGGAUCUGCCAGUGCCUUGCAAAGGCUCUUUCACACCUGCGUUC